ensembl:lncRNA
GCUUCCGCCUCAUUCCGGCCUCCGUCUCCCGGAGGGGCUCGCGGUUCUCCGAGCCCCGAGCGAACCCGAGCCUCUAGUCCCGCCCCGCACGUGUGUGCGCGCGCGUGCGCGCUCCCUGCUUCUCGCCUGAGGGCUUGGCGACCCUCGGGCAGGCACGGGAGGGGAAGCUGGGGCAAGAAGUCGGCCCGGGAAGCGGAAGCCGAGGCAGGGAGGUUGCAGAGCGCGAGGCCACCCCGUCCCCUUCCUCCCAGGCUGGCGCAGCUGGGAGCCUGACGCGACUCGGGUCUGCUUGCGGGAGGGGCACGCCUGGGCUGAGCUGCCGGCCGGUGCCUGCCAGGUGCGCGGCGCGGGGCUGCGGCGGGCGGGCGCCCCAGAGAGGCAUCGCGGGUGGAGGGCGAGUCUCGAGAGCUUGCGGAACGGUCCAGCGCUAGGUUUGAAGCUGAGCCUUACGGAAAGUCCAUUCUCGGGCCGGCGGCUCCCAGGCUGGCAGCAAAGACCUCCCCUGAUAGGGGCAGGAGAGCACAACCCAGAGGCCCGACCGACGGGUUCUACCCCAGCACCUCCCUGGUGGGGCGCGGAAUUUGGCUCCGCGUCGCCAUCUCGUGGCCUUAUGGAGCAGCGCCUGCCUGGUAACUGGGGAUGUCGCAAGGCGGGAAGCGACCGAGGCACGCGAAGCCCUCAGGAGUGAUUGGCUUCCGAGACCCCGCCCCCUUGUUAGGGAGGUCCUGGAGCUGGGACUGCGGUUACCAUGGCAACGGUUGAGCAGGCCCAGUCCCUUCCUCUGGCCACCCAGAAUCCUGCUCAGGACCUCGCCGGAGACCGGGAUGUGGACACCAGCGUUCCUUUUCAUCCUCCUUGCUGAAUAACCUGUGUAGAUGAAGAUGCUGCCUCCCAAAGCAGCAAGGCCUUCACCAACCAAUGAGCCUGCAUACGUACUGUGGCACCACACAGCCCGUAUCUAGGUGGAGACGGCAGGAUGUAGACCUGGUCUUCAGCCCCCUGAAGAGUGCCAUGUCCUUGCUGAGCGCUGCAGUUUUUUGUAUCUGCUAAAACUGUCCAUGGGCCCCUCGGCUGGCUCCACGUUUUGGCUACUGUGCAUUGUGCUGUAGUGAACCUGGGUAUGUGGGUGUCUCUAUAGCAUGCUGGCUUCAGUGACUUCAGGAUAGACCCAGGACUGGUAUCAAUAUAGGGCAUAUGAUAUGGGGCCUCCAAAUAAUGUAAGGAAAUAUUAUAACUCCCAACCUGCUAGACAUCCGAAAUAUGGAGUUAGUGUUCUCUAAACUUGAAGAAUGAAUUCUAGGAACAACGGAGGUUAAGAGUAGGAAGAAUUUUUUUUUUUUUUAAUUUUGCUGGGCGUGGUGGUGCACGCCUAUAGUCCCAGCACUGGGAGGCUGAGGCAGGAGGAUCACUUCAAGUUCAAGGCCAGCCUGAACUACAAAGGGAGACCCUGCCUCAAACCCCCCCCCAAAUUUUUAUUAGUACAUGUUCACAGUACAUAAUGAUUACAUUCAUUGUUGGUAAUUGGUACCUGUACAUAACAAACACAUCUUAAUUCCUUUUAUUUCCUCUCAUCUCCAUCUAUCUCUUUCUCUUUCUCUUUUUUUUUUUUUUGGUAGUGGGGAUCAAACUCAGGAUCUUGGACUUGCAAAGCAUGUGGCUGAACCACUGACCUAAAUCCCUGGCCCUCCAUCUAUCUCUUGAUGCAGGCGACACCAGCUUUGGAGAAAGAAAUGCAUAAAAUUAUUCCAGAACAUUCGAUCAUUCUAGACAGCAAAGAAGUUAUCAACCAAUCAAGGAUUCAAGGGUCAAUUUUUAAAUUUACUAUUUUU